rnacentral:rRNA from 1 species
UACAGAGGGUGCAAGCGUUAAUCGGAAUUACUGGGCGUAAAGCGUGCGCAGACGGUUGCGUAAGUCAGAUGUGAAAGCCCCGGGCUCAACCUGGGAAUUGCAUUUGAGACUGCGUAGCUAGGGUGCGGAAGAGGGAAGCGGAAUUUCCGGUUGUAGCGGUGAAAUGCGUAGAUAUCGGAAGGAACACCAGUGGCGAAAGCGGCUUCCUGUCCAGCACCGACGUCAGGCACGAAAGCGUGGGGAGCAAACAGG